rnacentral:lncRNA from 1 species
UUUGCUUUGAUAAAGGAUUAAUUCAAAUUUUGGAAUGAAAAGAAGAGAUUUUGAAGCCCUAAAACUGUACUGUGUGACAAAACUCCUGUUCUUGGGAUAUGGUGGCAGAAGUAAGGGAAAGUGUCAGAAAAAGUCCCGCAAGGUGAGAAAAACUGAAAAAGAGACCCCUUUCCUAUAGAGGCUCACGAAGGGGAAAUUGCAACUGUGCGACCCUGUCUGCUAGCUUUCUCUGUCACUUCAUCCCCCAUUCCUGUUGCUGUGUGCACUUUUAUCCAACCCUCUUAAUGUCCAUGGCUGCGCUACCAGCAAAAUCUAACCCCAUCUGCUUGGCUAAGCUUCUUGCGCUCACCUAUACCUGAGGAGUACGACAUCAGGCUUCAGGGCUUAUUGAAGUCAUUACUCACAUCAUUGCACUAAUCACAAACAGAAGUGAAAGUUGUAAAUUGUAUAUAAUUACAUUUCAUAGAGAAAAAAGUAGAUUUAAAAAUGGCAAUUAAUAUUCUUAAUAGCCAAAAGUUAUUGCUAAUUAAUAAGAAAAACAUAAGCACUCCAAUUGAAAAAAAAUGAGCAAAGGUCAUAAAGACAUAAAACUCGCCUGUGGAAACAUACGUAGAGGAAACACAGAAUUAGUGAGUGUGUGUAUGGAAAUAAAUGGAAGGAUAAUGCUUGCUACCCAGUGUGGGCUUUGGGGGUAGAUCUACCUGGACUGAGUUCUGGAUUCACUAUUUACUAGCUCCAUGACCUUCAGCAAAGUAACCUCUCUAAGCCUUUGUUUUUAUCUGUAAAAUAGGGAUACUUAUUUUCCCUGCCUUGAGGGGUUAUUGUGAGGAUAAAAGAAAAUAAUUCUGUAAAGGGCUUAGUAAAGUGCCUGGUGCAGAGAAAUUUUUCAGUGCAGAUUAGCAAUUGUCACUGCUAGUAGUAUAUUUGCAUUGAUAACAAUUAGUAAUUUAACAUCUCACUGAAAUCAAAGAAAUGCAAUUAAAACAACAAAUACAUAUUAUUUGUUACUUAUCAGAUUGGAAAACAGCCACUGUUGGUUAGAUGUGGAGAGAUGGGUUCUCUUGUGCAAUUCUGGGAUGGUAGGACCUGAUGCCCCAUUUCUGCAGGGCAAUUUGGCAAUAUACAUUAACGUUGAACAUUCUGAUAGUUUUUGACCCAGUCAUUCUUCUCUCAGAAACUUAUUCCUGGGAGAUAACUGAACAAAUGCACAAUAAUGAAUAUAUAAGAAUGUUUAUCCUGGCAUUUUUUUUUAUAGAAACAAAAAUUCAGAAGCAACUUAAACAUCCUUCAGUGAGAUUGACUAAUAAGUCCUGCUUCAUUUUUAUGACAGAAUGCUACUACUAAUAGCAGUGUUCUAGAUUUUCAUCCACCAUCAUGGAUAAAGCUCUCCGUCAUGUGGAUGGUCUAUGAUUCAUGCAAGAAGACAGAACCAAUGUUUUGCAAGACCUUCCCAUGAAGUAGAAAGAACAGUAGUGUUCACUCCAUAAGAGGCGUGCGCUACCACUUGCCUUGCCUCAUGGGCAAUGAGGAAGUUGCAUGGGUUUCCUACGGCUCUGCAGGGGUGGAGUGAGCCAGAAAGAACUGGUCAGCCCUAGACAUUCAGGUGCUAUCAAAUACCAGCCCUAGGGUCAAGAACACUUAAAAACAAAACAAACUUGAAACUUCCUUUGCUUGUGUUGCUUAGAAUCACUGCGGUAGGAGGAUUCCUGAGGCAUUACCUGGAUAGUCUCAUCUGGCUGGACAUGCAGGAGAACUGGGAGACUGCCGAGACUGCCACGUGGGUUUUGGAGGCUGAGAAGUCCAAGACUGAGGGGCUGGCAUCUGACGAGGGCCUUCUUGCUGCUUCAUUCCACGGCAAAAUGGCAAAGAGAAGAUGAGAAGAAAGGCUCAAAGGGACGGUGGGACUUGACUGAGGACCCAGCACCUCCUGGACCUGAAUCAAGGCCCUCUGUCCCGCUGCUUUUGUUGUUGUUUACCCUGCAACUUCACAGCCCUUCAGAAGGCCCUGGACAUCAUGUGCAAGCUCCGUGGAUGGCCUGAGAUUCAUCCUUCCAAGUUGUUUUCUGACUGAGAGGCAACAUUUUAAAUUGUGAUCCCCCCUUACCCCACCACACACACUGAAACAAAAGUUUCAAGAAGUCAUUACCACACAAUGACUCAGAUAUGUUCUAGUCUAGUCUGUCUAUUCCAUUCCAUUCCAGUCUCUUUCCAAACGAAAAUAAAAGGAAGGAAAUGCUGCAUGCGACUUGGUAAGUUAAUUUCAGGACACCUUGGGACUGCUUCCUGCUGCAUGAGGCAUCAGCACACAGCAGGGGAUAUUUUGCAUUCCUGUGUGCACCGUGGGUUAGACAGGCUGCUUGGCCCUAAGUGGAGAAUGGAACUCCAGUAGAAAGGCUGAGAUGCACUGCAAGUAACCACUGCAGAAAGGAGAGGAUGCCCACAGGCAGGCUGAAGUGGACCCGUGUGGAAGGAACACUUCAAGACCACUGGCCAAGAGACUUCCUUCAUUUUUAUCCCUUCCUGUUUUUCGCCUGUGCUGAGGAUUCACCACCAGUGUGGGGAGCCUCUGACUGUAAAAGGAAAGCUGACUCUGGCUCCUUCGUGUUUUCUGUUAAGUUGGGGCCUAAGUUUUUCUGCCAGCCUUUGCGGAGGAAAUGCAGCUUCCCUGGCACACUGCCCGGUCAAGGGACGUUGAAUCCAUUGCAAUCAGCAGUUGAAGAUCCACACUACAGGCCAUGUUCUUAAAAUAAGUGGCUCCAGGACUUCCAAGAGGCAGAAGGGGCUUCAGCUGGCCAUGGGCAGGAUCCAAGUGGAGCUUCAUCCCUGCAGAGCAAUGCCUGGCUCUCAGCGGAGGCAGUCUGGAGCAGGGCUUCUACCCUUUUCAGCUCAUAGAUUACUUUGGAAUCUGAUGAACACUGGGAGCCUUCUCCUUAGAAGAACAUACAUAUGCACGAGAAUGAGACAAUUACAUAACAUUCCUUGGGUUUCACAGAUGCUGAAGCCAAUGACUUGCUUGAAGCCUGGAAGAGGGUGUUGACCUGGAGAAUCCUAAAGGCCAAAAUUUAGAGAAAAUGGUGCCAGUAAAUGAAUUCACAAGGAGAAAUGCUUCCUUGCCAACUCACUUCUCCAGAUUAUUGAGUGCAUCUAUCUGUUUGCUUUUGGCUUCACGCAAUUGGCCCUCUUCAGUUCCGUACUCUUUCCUAAAUACCUUGCAAGUUUUCCUCUUCUCUCAUGCCAUUUAUAAUAUGCUGACGCCUGAUUAGAGGAAGGAAGGACUCAGCUGCACUUGCACUGGGGGAAGGGCCACUUACAGGAAGCCUACCUGGGGCUGAGCUGGGUCUCACUGCCUCCUAGACCUAAGGGCCCCAGCUUUUCCCUCAUCUCUUGUUGCAGCCACCACUUGUUCUAGAUCUGCAUCCAUAUCUGUAAAAUGGGGGUGAUAAUACCUUCCCAUAAAGUCACUGUGAGGAUUAAAUGUCCGGCACAAUAUUUGAUGCAUAGUGGUGCUGAAUAAUAUUUAUUGUCAUUACUAUCAUUAUUAUUGGCUGCUACCUUCAUUUUGAAAUUCUAUCCAUGAGCUACAUUAAUUAACCUGCAUUCAGUGUCAGGAUGUAUUUCUUAAUUUAGAUUUUUAAAUUUUUAGAGCAUGUGGCUAACCAUGAAUGUUGCAUUUUCUCAGUACCUAUUUAUUCAUAUGAAACUAUAGGUCUGGGCUCAGAGUUCAUCAAUAUUUAUAGAGAAGGCUCUACCUGUUGAGCACUGUGCUAGGCAUCCCCAGAGAUGCUGGCCUACUUCAUGCCUUAGGCAGCCCCACACGUGAGCAUUACUAACCCAUUGCUGCUAUGAGAGCAUUCAGAAAGAAAGCAGUUUAAGUUGCUUGACUAAACUGGUAGAGUUGAAAUUAAACUCUGUCUCUUCAUGUUACUGGACUGCUUGGAUAUCUACUUUCAGAAAGACUACAGCUUGAUAUAAACAUUGUAGUUUUGCUCAUGGAAAACUUACAGUAAAUCUGGGCUGUUUCAACACAACUGUCAAACUGUUCACCUACAGCUGUAUUUUCUCUUGCAAUGGGUGAAUAAGGUACAAUGAUGGUUGUACAGACCAUUACUAUUAUUACCUGUUAAUUUACAUUUAAACAGAUUUAUAAUUUCUGGCCCUGAUUUCCAGUCCAGUAUACAGCAAAAAUCCAUAUUUUAAACUAAAAAUAAUGUGCUUUUCAUAAAAUCAUAAAGAAACCCACCUGGCUAUUGUCUGGGGACUUGCGAGAAGGAUCCUUUGUAGUUUUCUUCCAUGUCUUCUAAGGAAUAGUUUGGAACACAUAGUAAAUAGUCAAUUAAUACCAAAGGGCAUUUGCAAAACUAUCAACUCCCAGUUUAUAUAAAGGACCAGCCACCAGAAUUAUACAUGAAUUAAAAAGUUAGCACACCAUAGUCAGAGAAGGACAACUUGGGAAUAGUUGUGUAACAGCCGUGAGGGUAAGCGAAGGGUCUGUCUACCUGUGCCUUCCCAGAAUACUGCCUCUCUUCUGGUCUGCUUUGGGAACAGUCAACAGGAAAGAAAAAGUAGACAGAUAGAGUCAGUGCGCUGAAUAAAAGAAGAUUCUAGAUCACUACAAGAGGCUUGUCAUUUGAGGCAAAGUGUCUGAGAGAGGAAGGUUUUUAUGGCCUCAAUGGGGAGACUGGUCACUGAUAAAGCGUUCUGGAUCUUUUGUGGGCCGGAAGAUAAGUUGAGUUUUGGUUAAUGUUUAAUGAUGCAGAACAAAAGUCAUAAAUAGUCCAUGAGAAAUAAGAGCACAAAUGAUUGGGAUUGGACAGUUUGCUUAUUCAGCUGCAAAAUGUGCUGUGUUCUAUUCUUGUCAUCCCCCCAUGGUAUAACAAAAUGCAGUGUGACAAGGAAUAUAAAUGUCCCCUAAUGCAUGGGCAGCUUUUUCUGUUCUAAGAGAGUCAGCAUGAGUCACUCAGCAGGUGAAAAAUGUUUAAUUUAGAGAAAAUAGGAUAAAUAGCAAUAGCUUCC